rnacentral:rRNA from 1 species
GCUUGUCUCAAAGAUAAGCCAUGCAUGUCUAAGUAUAAGUAUUUUAUACCAAACUGCAGACGGCUCAUUAAAACAGUUAUGGUUUAUUUGAUGGUUUGUUUAUUACUUGGAUAACCGUAGUAAUUCUAGAGCUAAUACAUGCGUAAGGGGUAACUUCACGAAACUCUGCAUUUGUUAGAUUAAACCCAGCCACUUUUAGUGCAUCUGGUGAAUCAUGACAAAAUAUCGGAUCGCCGAUUUCAGUUAGCGACAUGUCAUUCAAAUUUCUGCCCUAUCAUGCUCAAGAUGGUAGGAUCUGGGCCUACCAUGGCGGUGACGGGUGACGGAGAAUUAGGGUUCGAUUCCGGAGAGGGAGCCUGAGAAACGGCUACCACUUCUAAGGAAGGCAGCAGGCGCGCAAAUUACCCAUUCCUGAUUCAGGGAGGUAGUGACAAGAAAUAACAAUAGUUUGGCCUCGUGCUAAACUAAUUGGAAUGAAUACAAUUUAAACAUUUAGAUGAGGAACGAUUGGAGGGCAAGUCUGGUGCCAGCAGCCGCGGUAAUUCCAGCUCCAAUAGCAUAUACUAAAGUUGUUGCAGUUAAAAAGCUCGUAGUUGGAUUUCUGUGUGAUAGGGACGGGAAGGCGCCUUGUAGCGUUUUUUCUGACUUCUCGCGCAUCUUGCCACAAACCAUGGUACUCUUAAUUGAAGUGUCGUUGGGGAUUGGCUCGUUUACUUUGAAAAAAUAGAGUGUUUAAAGCAAGGUUUUCCUCUAAAUAAGUUAGCAUGGAAUAAUGAUAAAGGACUUUGGUUCUAUUUGUUGGUGUUCGGGAUUGAAGUAAUGAUUGAUAGGGAUAGUUGGGGGCAUUAGUAUUCAAAAGCGAGAGGUGAAAUUCUUAGACCUUUUGAAGACUAGCUGCUGCGAAAGCGUUUGCCAAGGAUAUUCCCUUUGAUCAAGAACGAAAGUUUGGGGAUCGAAGACGAUCAGAUACCGUCGUAGUCUAAACUAUAAACUAUACCAACUAGGGAUUGGCCGGUGUUAUGAAAAAAAGGGCCCGGUCGGCACCUUAUGAGAAAUUAAAGUAUUUGGGUUCCGGGGGGAGUAUGGUCGCAAGGCUGAAACUUAAAGGAAUUGACGGAAGGGCACCACCAGGCGUGGAGCCUGUGGCUUAAUUUGACUCAACACGGGAAAACUUACCAGGUCCAGACAUAAUAAGGAUUGACAGAUUGAGAGCUCUUUCUUGAUUCUAUGGGUGGUGGUGCAUGGCCGUUCUUAGUUGGUGGAGUGAUUUGUCUGGUUAAUUCCGUUAACGAACGAGACCCCAGCCUGCUAAAUAGACAUCGUAUGUUUUUGCAUGCGGUGAUUGCUUCUUAGAGGGACUAUAGACUUCGCUAUACAGACUAGGGAAGUUUGGGGCAAUAACAGGUCUGUGAUGCCCUUAGAUGUUCUGGGCUGCACACGGGCUACACUGACGCGUGCAAAAAGCAUAUCAGCUGGUCCGAAAGGAUUGGGCUAAUCUUCAAACUCGCGUCGUGCUAGGGAUUGACUAUUGUAAUUGUAGUCAUGCAACGAGGAAUGCCUUGUAAGUGCGAAUCAUCAAAUCGCAUUGAAUACGUCCCUGCCCU